UCCACGCUCCCCGGGAGUUUUCUCGGCCCCGCCCACAAACCCAACUCUGAGUCUGAUUGGACGGCAACAAAGGGAGGCUCCGCCUAUGGUUCCAGGACAAAGCAGACAGCCCCCUCUCAGACUAGAAAGUUCAUCUGGUCCCCCCAGACUAGGCCCUCAGUGGUGGGGUUGCCGUGCUGGGGGCUGGGGUGAACUCGUCCCAACAGCACCCCGGAACCCUGGCUCCCUUCGCCCUAGUGGCUUCCUGACCCCACUGUUCCUGUCAGGCUUUGCCCCAGCUCCCAGCACUGGCUGCAGGACAGGAAAAGGCAAGAGGAGACCCAUGGACAGGAGACCAGCCCAGACCUCUCCUGGGGAAACCAAAACCGAGGAUCAGACCUGAGGAAAUGAACCUGAUGUAGAGACAACCAGAUAAAUCUUUAUUUGUGCCUUGGCACUGUGGCCUAUUCCUUCGGAAGUUUCUCAGCUUUCGGAACCUGGGUUUCUGAAAGCGGACUCUGUGACAGCUGGUCAUGUGACAGCUGGUUCUGUGACAGCCAACUCUGUGAAACCUGGUCCUGUGGAGCAGCUGCCUUGUCGGUGCGGAAUCUGGACUUUAUGGAAUCGAUCACCAUCCCAGACCGAAAGCAAACACUGACCUGUGACUUCAAAACGGAUGGCCGAGAAUAUGCUCACUCCCGGAGUGCCCAACGCGCAGCGGCCAGGUUCAGUCUCCGCCCUGUCAAGACUCCCUCUCUCCUGGCUCCGCCCCUCCUGCGCCAACCCCUCCCGCUGGCGCCAGCCCUCUCACCUCCACAAUCUGUGGACUUUCGACAAGGGUACGUGUGCAGCAGGCAAGAAUCGCACCACCUCAGAAGCCGCAACAAUACACCUGAAGGGGCACGGAUAAGGCUGUAACUCGCCCCGAAAAAAGGGGCUCCACGGAGCGGGCAGGGCCACGGUCGGGGGCGGAGUCAGGCCCCUAAUCCCUAGAGGUCAGCCCAAGGGGCGGGGCUAGAAGGCAGUCCUCCCUGAAGAGGGGUGUAACCGGUCUCAGGAAAGAGCGCCCAGAGAAGGAGACCCGUUGCCCAGGAAGUCCGCUGUGCACAAGGACUACUGGGGACCAGGAACCUCUCAGACGUGGGGAAGGAAGAACCACGGAGACCCAAAGCCGGAGGAGAAAGGCUGGGUAUUCACGGGGCAAGGAUGAGGGAUAAAAAACCAUCUUCCAUAA